ACACCUUCAAGCUCUGCUUGGUGUUGGGUGUUUGUCUCGCCUUUGCGUGUAGACUCGCCUCAAAACGAUUGGCAGCCGGCGUAUUGGUUUCGGAGCGCAGUACAUCUCGCGCUUUGCACUCAUAACGACGACGUCCAAAAAGUACAUUUUACAC
rnacentral:misc_RNA from 1 species